rnacentral:rRNA from 1 species
AUGAUCAUGUCCAUGUUCCACCCGCUUAUGUUCUUUGGCUUCGGUUGCUGUUUAACACUGUUAAUCAUGAAAAUUCUUGAUUGGAAUGUUCGAGGUCUAGGUGAUGAUGAUAAGUGUUCGCUGGUUCGUGAAACUAUAACCUCCUGUCGCCCUAGUGUUCUCUGCCUGCAGGAAACAAAGCCGGAAUCAAUCUCGAAGUGGAAGCUAUGGACUUUUCUUCCUGCCCAUCUUGAUGAUCACGCCGUCAUGCCUUCAUCAGGUUCCUCAGGUGGUAUUUUGGUGGCUUGGGACACUUCUUUCGUCUCAGGGUAG